UACGGGGGGGGCAAGCGUUGCUCGGAAUCACUGGGCGUAAAGGGUGCGUAGGUGGUGAGGUAAGUCGGAUGUGAAAUCUCCAGGCUCAACCUGGAAAUGGCAUUGGAAACUACCUUGCUAGAGGGUUUGAGGGGGGACUGGAAUGACUUGGUGUAGCAGUGAAAUGCGUAGAUAUCAAGUGGAACACCAGUGGCGAAGGCGAGUCCCUGGAAAAUACCUGACACUGAGGCACGAAAGCUAGGGGAGCAAACAGG
rnacentral:rRNA from 1 species